CCUACGGGAGGCAGCAGUGAGGAAUAUUGGUCAAUGGACGCAAGUCUGAACCAGCCAUGCCGCGUGCAGGAUGACGGCUCUAUGAGUUGUAAACUGCUUUUGUACGAGGAUAAACCGAGACACGUGUAUCUGGUUGCAUGUAGCGUAUGAAUAAGGAUCGGCUAACUCCGUGCCAGCAGCCGCGGUAAUACGGAGGAUCCGAGCGUUAUCCGGAUUGAUUGGGUUUAAAGGGUGCGGAGGUGGGUUGUUAAGUUAGAUGUGAAAUGUCGGGGCUCAACCCCGAAACUGCCUCUAAUACUGGUGGUCUAGAGAAUAGUUGCGGUAGGCGGAAUGUAUGGUGUAGCGGUGAAAUGCUUAGAGAUCAUACAGAACACCGAUUGCGAAGGCAGCUUACCAAACUAUAUCUGACGUUGAGGCACGAAAGCGUGGGUAUCAAACAGGAUUAGAUACCCUUGUAGUC
rnacentral:rRNA from 1 species